ACACUCAAAUCUUUGCCAUUCCUUGAUGCUUUGUCCUGGUGUGGGGACAGAUGGUGUGACAGUACCAGCAGUGGGUAAAACCAGAUGGGACAUUUCCGUUUGUUUUGCUUGAGGCUGUCUCUACUCUGCCACAUUA